GAAAGGCGAAAGAGAUGGAGAUAGGAAUAAUUGCUAGAAAGAGGACAACCGAUAACCUGGCUGUUGCCUGGGGUGAGGUCGAAGGAAAAAAAAGAACUCCUGAAUGGCAAAGAGAAUGAGAAAAACUAAUGUGAUGGAAAAUUUUGAAGCAGUAGAAACAGGAAGUAUAAUUUCCAUCAGGCAGAGAGAAGAAAACAUUUAGGCGAUGUUAAGGAGGAUAUUUUCAAAGAGAGAAAAACUGAAGAUGCCACUCAAAUAAAAUUUUAAGCUGGGGAUAAUUUGAA